rnacentral:lncRNA from 1 species
AUGGAGCCAAGUCACCACAGAGCAUGGCUGCAGGAGAAGCUUUCCAGGCAUCCUCACUGCAGCACAUGGAUCAGCCUCGCCGAGAGACUCUCUUGCAUCAGACCCAGAGGGAAGAAAGUCUAUAGAAUCUCCUCUCCUUGGAACAUGCUGGCUUACUCCAUGACAAGGACAAGGGCUUUCAAUACAGUCCUUUGGACUGAUAUCACAGUGGAAGACCCAAGAACUUCUGGCUUAAAAUUGCGUUCCAGUAUAAGCUACUUCUGUGGAGUGGGAUGGCUCUUGAUGUCUGUGCAGGAAGACCUAUGUAGAAUAAUGGUACAAAUCCAUUGUUCUCAUCUCCCUGGGAAAAUGACAUUGUUGCAAAAGACUGUGAAUUUACCAUGAAAUUGACAUUGUACAUGAACUGAAUAAAAACUUUUAUUCAAAAUAAAAUUAUUUUGCAUGUGUUUUCAAAAUCUUUACAAAUACUAUUGUGAUGAAUAAAAAAUAGAUGGGGCAAGACAAAAGAAACUAGAUAAGGGUCUUCCCACCCAUCCAGGUACUGUGCCUCCUUCUCAAAUUGCUUGACUGAGUUUGGCCAGGUCCCAGGGCUCAUGACAGUGCCUUGUGAGGGCCCUUCAGCCUCCACAUCUGGCCUCAUAAUAUAGCCUUUGCUUUCUCAUUGAGGAAGGUAAGGAGAAAAGGAUGGCCAAGGGGUGAGGAUGGGUGUUACAAAGGCUACAGCCUAAUUGACAUCUAUGGAGGAGAGAGCUUUCCUAGGUCUGAUGAGCAGGAAGAUGGUGCUACUGAAGACAAUAAAGAUCAUUGUGCAGUGUGAUCCACAUGUGGAGAAAGCUUUCUGCCAGCCACUGCCCAAGGAGAUCCAUAGCUCAGGGUUUACAAUGUAGUAAUAAGAGAUGAAUCCCAGAAUUCCCUCAGGUAGGUGUUGGAGUAGGAUAGCUAAAGCAGAGGUUCCUUGACACAGAAGGAGUAGUUAAUGACAGUUGAGAUAAACUCAGGAAGGACAGUGGAUACCAUGGCUAGUAGAGAACUUGCCCAGGUGGCUCCAGCCAGCUGGACACACACAGCCUAGCCCAAAGUGCAGUGGGUGGCAAAUGGCCACAAAACUGUCAAUGGCCCUGUCUGACAAGAAGAGGAUGGAGGUGGAAUCCAGGAAAAAGUAGCAGUAGAAGUGGACCAUGCAGCCAGUAAAGGAGAUAAGAUGUUGAAGAUCAGCAGGUCUGAGAGCAUCUUGGGCAUCAC